UCACUUAACCCAUUCCCCUAUUUACAUAGACACAUAUGGUGUUUCCAGUUAUUCAGUAUUAUAACCAAUGCUGCAAUAAAUAGUUGUGCUAAUGUAGCUAAAUGAAUUUCCACAAGUCGAUUUGCAAAGGUGAAGGGUGACGAUUUUCACCUUGACCGCUAUUGCUGAAUUGCUGGGCACAUACUUAAUCAUUCUGUGGCUUUAUUUUCUCCAUUUCGUAUAUGAGAAAAUGAUUGAUGAGCUAUCGGAUUACUCCUAUAAAAGGCUUGGCUAGCCUGAGAAAUAUGAAGCGAGAUCAUUUUAUGUAUAUACAGCAAUGCAUACACCAUGGGCCAAAAUACUGAUCAUGACCUUUGGCAGUCACUGCUAUGUCUGGUCAGCACACUGCCAUAUACCAGACAGAAAUCAUUACUGGUGCACUUGAGUUUGCAAGAGUAAAG
rnacentral:lncRNA from 10 species